UGACCUGCGGAGGGAUCAUUACACAAAUAUGAAGGCGGGCUGGAACCUCUCGGGGUUACAGCCUUGCUGAAUUAUUCACCCUUGUCUUUUGCGUACUUCUUGUUUCCUUGGUGGGUUCGCCCACCACUAGGACAAACAUAAACCUUUUGUAAUUGCAAUCAGCGUCAGUAACAAAUUAAUAAUUACAACUUUCAACAACGGAUCUCUUGGUUCUGGCAUCGAUGAAGAACGCAGCGAAAUGCGAUAAGUAGUGUGAAUUGCAGAAUUCAGUGAAUCAUCGAAUCUUUGAACGCACAUUGCGCCCUUUGGUAUUCCAAAGGGCAUGCCUGUUCGAGCGUCAUUUGUACCCUCAAGCUUUGCUUGGUGUUGGGCGUCUUGUCUCUAGCUUUGCUGGAGACUCGCCUUAAAGUAAUUGGCAGCCGGCCUACUGGUUUCGGAGCGCAGCACAAGUCGCACUCUCUAUCAGCAAAGGUCUAGCAUCCAUUAAGCCUUUUUUUCAACUUUUGACCUCGGAUCAGGUAGGGAUACCCGCUGAACUUAAGCAUAUCAAUAAGCGGAGGAAAAGAAACCAAACAGGGAUUGCCCUAGUAACGGCGAGUGAAGCGGCAACAGCUCAAAUUUGAAAUCUGGCUCUUUUAGAGUCCGAGUUGUAAUUUUGCAGAGGGCGCUUUG
rnacentral:rRNA from 1 species